rnacentral:sRNA from 1 species
GGGAGCGAAAUGGUUUUCGACAGGUAUUAAAUCCGCUUGCGGAUGUACCUGGACUGGAGUUCAAUUCUCCACGCUUCCACCA